rnacentral:rRNA from 1 species
GACGAACGCUGGCGGCGUGCUUAACACAUGCAAGUCGAGCGGUAAGGCCCUUUCGGGGGUACACGAGCGGCGAACGGGUGAGUAACACGUGGGUGACCUGCCCUCAGCUCUGGGAUAAGCCUGGGAAACCGGGUCUAAUACUGGAUAUGACUCCAUGACGCAUGUUGUGGGGUGGAAAGCCUUGUGCGGCUGAGGAUGGGCCCGCGGCCUAUCAGCUUGUUGGUGGGGUGAUGGCCUACCAAGGCGACGACGGGUAGCCGGCCUGAGAGGGCGACCGGCCACACUGGGACUGAGACACGGCCCAGACUCCUACGGGAGGCAGCAGUGGGGAAUCUUGCGCAAUGGGGCGAAAAGCCUGACGCAGCGACGCCGCGUGAGGGAUGACGGCCUCGGUGUAAC